UUUAAAUUCUGCGCACAUUACGUCGUCUUGGUAACCGGAUGAAUGAACGCGCGGCGGGAUAACAAACACCUUUCUGAAGCGGCUGGCGAUGGUGGGAAUCUCCGUCCAGCUGUGAAACAUCUGUAGAGCGACUGAAAGCUUCUACUUCACCAGGUUUCGGCAUUUAACAGAUGAAGACCAUGCAGAGAGCCGAAGGGGACUUCAGCUGGAUGAAGUCCGGAGCAGACUCUGGGGUGAGGAUCAUCAGCGGAGACCAAGAGCCUCUAACAGCGGGAGAUGUGUUCAGAGCCUCCUCUCAAGCCCGCGGAGUGGAAGUCUGGAGCAUUUAUUUAAGGCUGGUGAUGUCUGUCUGACGCCGGAGCAGAGCGAGUUCUGUCCACUGGUCAGAGUUCAUGGUCCCCAGAGGAUGAGCCGCAACUGACCGGCUCUUCGUCUGCCUCCGUCAACUCACGGCGCAGGAGAGCUGAAGUCUGUUUCUGCAGCUUCAGCUGCAAACAAACGAGCAGAAUAAACUUGACCCCGGUGCGAUCCACAGUCCCCGAUCGUCUCCUCUGUCUGCUCUCAGCAGCGUGGAGCUGGGUUCUCCUCGUUGUCUGGUUUCUCUGAGGAGCCUCGUCCACCGGCAGCAGAACGUCUCUCAGCAGAGUUUGGUUUCCUGUGACUUCAUCCCUGUUUCUAUAUUUAAACGUUAUGAAUAUUUCAGACUGUUGUUCAUUUCCCACGUUAAUUAUUCCUGGA